rnacentral:rRNA from 1 species
AUUGAACGCUGGCGGCAGGCUUAACACAUACAAGUCGAGCGGAGAUGAGGUGCUUGCACCUUAUCUUAGCGGCGGACGGGUGAGUAAUGCUUAGGAAUCUGCCUAUUAGUGGGGGACAACAUUCCGAAAGGAAUGCUAAUACAGCAUACGUCCUACGGGAGAAAGCAGGGGAUCUUCGGACCUUGCGCUAAUAGAUGAGCCUAAGUCGGAUUAGCUAGUUGGUGGGGUAAAGGCCUACCAAGGCGACGAUCUGUAGCGGGUCUGAGAGGAUGAUCCGCCACACUGGGACUGAGACACGGCCCAGACUCCUACGGGAGGCAGCAGUGGGGAAUAUUGGACAAUGGGCGGAAGCCUGAUCCAGCCAUGCCGCGUGUGUGAAGAAGGCCUUUUGGUUGUAAAGCACUUUAAGCGAGGAGGAGGCUACCUAGAUUAAUACUCUGGGAUAGUGGACGUUACUCGCAGAAUAAGCACCGGCUAACUCUGUGCCAGCCGCCGCCGUAAAAC